UGAAGGAAGGAUGUCGUUCUCCUCUUCCGGGUAACUCCCAGUCGCAGCCAUUGGAAAGAUGGGACCCGGUGUGACUCCCGUGGCUUCCUCAGGAGAAGAUAAAAUGUUUAAAACUAACGGAGUCCCCGUUAACUUACCGAAACACUCCUACUGGGUGGAUUUGUGGGUGUUUCUGCUUUUUGAUAUCGCUUUGUUUCUCUUCGUAUAUUUCAUCGUCCCGUAAAAAGGAUCAACCCUUUGACUGACUGCUCAUGAAGCGCUACCCUGCUGUGCUGUGAGAAGGCUAACCCAGCUUUAACUGAAUGUAACCAUGCAGCAGCUUUCCUCAGCGCCGUCCAAAGAUUCUCACGUUUCACGGACGCAGACAAGAAGUUCUUCGGAAAUUAAUCGGACGGAUUCCCUGUCGUUUCUGGCAGAUGACAGUUUGAAGUAUUUUUUGUUUGUUUUUUGCUGAGAACCUUAAAACAUCCCAACUGACUUUUAUCCUCGAGACUCAGCAAACGUGUCUGCAGAUUACUUAAGAUACUUCUGGUAUCACUGUAAAUGCUAUAUAGUCUCUAAUUUUGUGUGUCUUUUUUUUGUCCGGAAAGAACAGAUAAUUUUCAGGAAAUGUAUAACUGGUGUUGGGACCAAUGAUGAUACGAGCACAAAAACAUUUUAUUUAUUGAAAACUAUGUCGAUGUGGAGGAAACUCCAAGCAAACUCUUGGCAAUUUGCACACAGACAACUCAUGAACGAAUAAAAUGUUCUUCCAACUAACUAAAACUCAUUUCAGUUUGAGUUUCUAUCCCACGCAAUUGGUUUUCAUGCAAGCAUUUCUAAUAAUUCACCUGUUAUAUUACCAAAAUGUAUUAUAAUUUAUAACAAUCAUUUACUCUUAUUUUAAUGUAAUUGAUGUAGUGGUGACCAAACUCUUUUUAAAUGUACUUGUUAUUGACUACCAUAAGUAUUUAAUAUUUGUUCAUUAGUUGGAUUGUCUGCUCUGGGAGCGAAACUGUAGUCUUCCACUUAACAGGCUUGCUAAGCUAAAUAGCUUUGCCUUAAAAUGAGUGAUGGCUAUUAAGUUUACUAGCUUUCUACCAGCCUAGAGUUUUAUAAUUUUUCAAAAAAAUUUUUUUUACUUUAUUGGAGGGAGCUUAAAAAAUAUAUGCACAUAAAAUGCUCAACAAACUGGUACUUGCUUCAAUUUUAAGGUAUAUAAUUGACUUUGCUACAGACUUGAGUUCUAAGUAGAGAAGAAAGUAUUUAAUUUAAUGUAUCGGAAGGCAUAUAAAAGUAUUCAAAAUCGAUUUUUUUUUUUUUUUAUUACGGGGCUACUUAAGUGUUUUAAUGGUGUAUAGAUACGGAGGUAUAUAUUUGUAUUGGUAAAUUCUCUCUGGCUGUCAUUAACAUCCACACGAUGGCGGUAGAUGCAGCUUAAACACAGUGGGGGUUUUAUUUUGAAUCUAAAGAACUUAACAUUUCCGGUUCAGGGAAAGUUGUUUUUAAAUGGGAUGCUAAGCUACUGAAAUUUGUCAGUGACUUUUCUAAAGGGUGCAAACGUAUUGUAAUGGAAAACUGCCAGAAAAAAACGGGCUGCUCUCUCCAGCCGUGUGGCAGGUGGCGCAGCUCCGAGGCGUUCUCCAUUACGAAACCCUCGGUGAGUUCGUGACGCUGGUGCCGGACACGGUGCCGGACCUGCUCGACUCAAAGCAGAGAGACAAGUUACUGCUGCGACUCAGAGCCAGAGUUAUUCUUGAGCUGUUCAGAAGUGUGGAAACAGCCAACACGUUGCAUAUGCAGCCUCACUUGGAACGAAGGGAUACUCCGGAAGUGGGGAUGCUGAGGUGGAUGCAGAAGAGGUGAUAUUGGUAGAACUUGUCCGAAUGCUAUUGAAAGAUCCAGGGUGAGGAACGUUCCAUGAUUUGGACACGUACAGUGUCUUAGUUUUGGAGAGAGACAUUGUUUUGAACCAGGAGUGGAAAGUAAAAUCAAAAACUUUAUUAGACAUUACUAAAAAAAAUUAAAAAAUACUCAACUGAAUCUUGUUGUUUGUGUCCUUUCCAUGAGGUUUUCCCAGCAGAGUAAGAUCUCAUCUAUGACACAGACUUGCAGCUCCUUGUGUGGGAGUUUCUUUCCGGACCUCGGUCAGACUGUUUUCAUGGCUGACCUCUGGGCCCUCCAUGCUGAAGGACUGUCUGGAAGCGCUGUCCGAUCCUGAUGAGCUGAGGACUCUCCUGCAGCUCAGAGGAGACUCACAGCAAAGAAGGCGGGGAGUUCAAGUGCCAGAAGUGCGGCGAGAGCUUCGGCAGCAUCUUGGAGCGACUGAGGCCCAGGCAGACGCACGCGGUGAGGCGUCACUACAGAUACUCCCAGUGUGAGAAGAUCUACGGCCGCGCCUCGGACCUCAAGAGGCACCAGAAGAAACACAACAUAUAAAACAGUAUUUUUCAGAUCUGUGUUGAAAAUGUGCAGGAGGGCGUGCUGUGGUGGCGUAGGGGAUAACGCAACCCACAUUUGGAGGCCUGGAGUCCUCGACGCGGCCAUCGCAGGUUCGAUUCCCGGACCCGGCGACAUUUGCCGCAUCUCUUUC